GAGUGUGCGCAGAGAGUGAACACCGGCAGAUUGCAACUUAUAUUUUUGUGGAUGUCAAUUGUCAAUACAGUGCAUUUAUCGCCCAUUAUUGGUAUAUUACUCAUUAAUCAUGACGCGCGAAUUAGCUACGUCAGCAUAUCGCGUUUUAUUGAGUUCGUGAUAAACUCGUUACGCAAAUCAUCUGAUAUUGUAUUCUGAACCUGUACAAUUUUAUAUCUGUAUCGUCUCCGCUGUUUAUGUUAACCCUCUCGCCUCUCCAACUCUUCAUGUUCCCACUGAACUCUGUGCUGAAAGGGGAUUUGAGAGGCGUCAAGGGCGACUUGAAAAAGCCGUUUAAAAAAGCAUCGAAAGAUUACGAGACCAAGUACGCGAAUCGAAAAGGAAAAGAAGCAACACCAAGUACGCAGAGGCUGGCCUCAUCCACUCGCAAGUUACACCCGCUAAAAAUGCUGACAAAAUGGAAAAGGAGGGACGGUUGAAAUCAAUUUAUCUACGUGAAAUACGUGGACAAAAGGGUAAGACGUAAUGAAAACGUGUGCCAACGAGCACGAUCUUCUCUCGGAUCUCGAGCAUGCGGUAAACAAUCGUGAUUUGCAACAAUUGCUGCAAGUUUAUGCGAGAAACGUCGACGUUGCAACACCUCUUCCCACUUCGAGGCUACGAAACCCACCACCACCAGUGCCUUUGAUGUCAAACUCAUCGAGAUGGAGCAACGGUUGAAACAACGAAUCUUUGAGCUCCAUGUGUUCCGAUCAUGGUAUUGCCGGCAAUCCUGUACCUCCACCGAGAAAGAUUCGUUCGCAAAUGUCAAACGAUGGCCACACGAGAUUGACCACAACUGCAAUAUAGUCAGUAGGGUUCUCACGGAUAACAAAAACGAUGCUCCCAACCAGAAAGUUGUACUGACCGAGGAUACUGAACGUUUUCCCACCUAAAUAGAUAUUUAACUCUUUGGCAUCACCAAUAUUCAAUAGUUUCUUCAGGAUUGGAUUCAUCACCUGGAAAUUCUUCAACAUCUUCAUCCAACUGGACAUAAUUGGACUUCUCAGGUGCAUGUGGUUCUUCAAGUUUCUUGAGAUCAGUCCUGUUUCCAAUUAAAUCUUCAAGGCAGUUCCUGAUUGUCAAUACACUCGUCAAAUCGGCUGCUGCUGGCAUAUCAUUCUUGAUCGAAAUGUUGACUAGGGAGUCAGAAAAUUUUUGUGCAGCUACUGUACAGAGAUAAGGAGAUCGAGUACGCGGGUCAACCGAUCGGUGUUGUAGUCGCCGAAACUCAGGCGCUCGCGAACGAGGCUACGAAACUAAUCAAAGUCAGUCAAAUUCAGAGACACUAAUAAAAAAAAGCGAUUGUAACAAUUAAGGACGCUAUUGCUUCGGGUGAUAAAACUCGACUGUUCCAAACUGCACACAUGUCAGCGAAGCGAAAAGGGAACGAUGCAAAGCACGUUAUCAAGGGUACACCCGAGGUAGGAUCUCAGUGUCACUUCACGAUGGAGCCGCAGAGUUGCGUUUGCAUACCGACGGAAGACGGUAUUGACGUUUAUCCCGCUUCGCAGUGGCUCGAUUUAACUAAAGGUUCGACAGCUUCUUGCCUCGCUGUUCGAAACAACAGCAUAAACGUCAACGUAAUGCGUUUGGAGGGCGAUUACGACGUCAAGACCUCGCGAUCGACUCAAGAAUCGUGCGCGUGCGCACUUGUAGGGCACCUGUUGAAACGACCAGUUCGGUUCAUCAUGACAAUCGAGUAACGGUGGACAAGGUGGGCAAAUUUUACUCGAUGAAACAGGAUUGCGAGGUCGGCGUUGACGACAACCGCCUCAUACAAUAUCUCAAUUCGGUGCAUUGGGGAAAUGCCGGCUAUUCUUUAAACGAGUUACACGCACCAUUUCUCGUUUAUCACUUUUACACUUGCUACUAUUUCGAAACAUGUAACUAUGAUGAGUGCGAAGUGAAAAUCAGGAUACUAUCCAAUAUCUUUCGAAGAGCACCUGCUUCUACGGAGGGAGCCGCAAUGGCAAAGAGCAUAAUAGAAUAUAUAGUUCGAAAAAUUGGAAAAAAAUCCGUUGGAAGUGCGCAUAUUGAACAUGAAUUCGGUGGAUAAGGAAGCUCUACUAUCCAUGAUCGAGGAUAUGAAGAAAUCUUCAGGUUACGAAGUUCGCAAGCGAGCAGUUGAAAUUUUGAACAGUGAUAGCGCCGGCAACGAAGGAGCUCGAACUGAAGCCAUACCCGAUCUACGGCGCGAUCGUAGCAGAAGUCGGGUUGAACGUGUUCACGGGUCAACAUAUCAUACGAAGAGUCGUCGUAAUUGAAGACGCGGGAAUUAACCUCAACUCAGAAAGUGAUUUGGGAUAGGUCAAAGGAGCCUUUAUUAUGGGCGUCGGUUACUGGACCAGCGAAAGAAUUUAUCUACGAUGUGGAUGCCGGUGCUCUCACCAACACCAAAACUUGGAAGUUUCAGAAUCUACUUCAGACUCGUAGGAUUCUUCUAAAGUAGAACCAUUAUCGGAUUCUUCAGUCGUGCAAUUGUUGUACGACGGAAUCGAAAUGCCCAUUUCACUUCGUGCAAUUAUUCAAUUCAUCCGGAUCCACGAAACCAUCGGAUUUUCAUCUGAAUCAAACUCACCGCCGUUACUACCAGUUUAUUUCUGUAAGAAAAAUCGUAUGACUGGAUUUGAAUAAUUACGGCUCACGUUGGCACUACAGAGGGUCAAAUAAAUUAUAAAAGAAAUUAAUAAUUUA
rnacentral:lncRNA from 1 species